UACGGGGGGGCAAGCGUUGUUCGGAAUUACUGGGCGUAAAGGGCGUGUAGGCGGCCAACUAAGUCCGACGUGAAAUCCCCAGGCUUAACCUGGGAACUGCGUCGGAUACUGGAUGGCUUGAAUUCGGGAGAGGGAUGCAGAAUUCCAGGUGUAGCGGUGAAAUGCGUAGAUAUCUGGAGGAAUACCGGUGGCGAAGGCGGCAUCCUGGACCGACAUUGACGCUGAAGCGCGAAAGCUAGGGGAGCAAACGGG
rnacentral:rRNA from 1 species